rnacentral:lncRNA from 1 species
ACACAGACAUGUGAUGAAACAAUCCCAUAUCUGCAGCACGGAGGAAUGAAUUCCCAACAUCCUAGAGGGUAUUUUGAAGAUCAUAGUGGGGAGUAGGUGAGAGGGGUGGGCAACCUCCAAAGCAGGAUUGACUCAGAAAAUAAACCAAGCUAUUCCAGACAUUUGGGGAAUUAUCUUGGCUUCUCUCAAUUUUGAAAGAUGCCUGGAGAGAGCUCAAAUGUUACUAGAAAAGUCCUCUUUCUACUUGUAGAAGCUUGUAGGUAUUUCCAAGAUUUAGUCUGAAAAUUGAGUUCUUAGGGUGGAUUUUUUCCCAUGUUCUAUUGGGGUGUGGGAAGAGAGAAAGAAUAAUAAUAAACACCAGGGAGUAACAAAAGCCCAUAACCGGCUCAUUUGGGCAGAUCUGGGCUUCAGCUGAAUUGGGUUGAGAUAGUCCCGGAUCACUUGAGGUCAGGAUGGCCCACUGAUAAUUAUCUGGGACUGGCAAGAGACACAGCAAUAGUGGCAGGGGAGAAGGAUAGGCACAAAGCCUUUGCAAAGAGCUGGAUGGAGCUGUUUGCAAGAGGACUUUUAAACAGCCCUGCACAGUGCUUUGCCUAUUUGUGCCUGUUCCGAUCAAGGGAAUAUCCAUGCACAGCCAAAUGAGCAGGACUGAACCCUCCACUCACCAGCAUUCCUGUUGGCUGCAGGGAAUGCACUGGGGAAGCAAUACCCAGCAGGAUUUAACUCUGGUCCCCAAGUAAAUUCAAUGACUAGAUCCAGGUUGGGUCAGCCCUGAGUUGGGUGAGGGCCGAUCCAAAGUCUUAGAAUGGCUGCUGGAUUGGGUUGUGGGAUGCACAGCACUAAAUCAACACCCUACAUUACCAGUGUGAGGUAUUCAUGUCUAUUCAGAAGUUAGAGAUCUAUGGGACCUUGGUAACUGUAAUCAUAGUCUAGCUUGACUUUUCCAAAGUUAACACUGGAAAUUCCGUUGGAGGGAGGGGAGAAAUUAGGACUCUUUAUCUAAGAAAUUAUCAUGGGCCAAAUAGAAUUCACAGUGAUAUUUCCUUUUAUUGCUAUUAUUAUUAAUUAAAGCAUAUUUCAAUAUCAGGGAAGUGAAGUUCACAAGGGAGAAAAAGGACACCCUAAUUAUUUCUCAUGGACUAAAGCGCAUCGCUUGACUGAGCUUCCCUGUGUGAGAUGGCUUCCGAAUGGCCUUUCUACUGUUGAGGGACAAAUGAAAGAAGCCACCAUUUUGAUUGUAUUUCUGAUCUCUAUCUUCCUCCCUUUGGACAUUUUUAACUUAUUUGUUCUGAAAUAAGAUCCUAGGUGCCUUCCUCAUUUAAUAGACUGAUUUGAAACCAUCAGAAGCUCUGGAACGAAUUCAUAAUGGAUAUUUCCUAAAAAUGCCUUCCUUCUCAUUUAAAGAAAGACAUCCUUUCAGCCUCCAAAGUGGUACCACGUUGGCAGGGAGUACCAGCAAAAUUAUGUUGAAAAUAUCUAUUGAAUUUAUCAUGAGUUAGCUAAUGCUUUGCCUAUUAACUGAAGUGCACAGUGACUAAUGAAUUGGAGAAUGGAUAUUCAGU